rnacentral:rRNA from 1 species
UGAGGAAUAUUGGUCAAUGGUCGCUAGACUGAACCAGCCAAGUAGCGUGCGGGAUGAAGGCCCUCCGGGUCGUAAACCGCUUUUAGACGGGGAUAAAAGGGCGUACGUGUACGCCGUAUUGCAUGUACCGUCAGAAAAAACGGACCGGCUAAUUCCGUGCCAGCAGCCGCGGUAAUACGGAAGGUCCGGGCGUUAUCCGGAUUUAUUGGGUUUAAAGGGAGCGUAGGCGGACUUUCAAGUCAGUGGUAAAAUCGUGUGGCUCAACCAUACCUCGCCAUUGAAACUGGAAGUCUGGAGUGCACACAGGGGUGCCGGAAUUCAUGGUGUAGCGGUGAAAUGCUUAGAUAUCAUGAAGAACUCCGAUCGCGAAGGCAAGUGCCCGGGGUGCAACUGACGCUGAGGCUCGAAGGUGCGGGUAUCGAACAGGAUUAGAUACC